CAACGGGAAACAAGAGAGACAGAGAUUAUAGAGCAAUUUCGCAGCUUAGAGCAAAACGCUAAUGGCUAAUGAACAAGAUAUGAGUAGCUGGACUGAUCUCCUCCACUCCUCCUCGAAGCUUCUUGAACAAGCUGCGCCUUCUGCUCAGUUCCCUCCUCUCCAGAGGAACUUAGAUCAGUUAGAAGCAUUAUCAAAGAAGCUCAAGGCAAAAACUUUAAGAACUGAAGCCCCUUCUCAAUCCAUUGCUGCAACAAGGCUUCUUGCACGUGAAGGAAUAAAUGCUGAGCAGCUUGCACGGG
rnacentral:misc_RNA from 1 species